UUUUUGGGGGGUGUUGUGUGUUUUUUGUAUUUUUUUGGGUGUUUGUGUGGGUAUUUUUGGGGGGUUUUGUGUUUUUUUGGGUUUUUUUAGUUCUUUUUUAGUUUUUGUUGGUUUUUUGGUUUUUUUGUUUCUUUGUUUUGUUUUUUGGUUGUUUCUUUGUUUGUGUUUUUUGUGUUUUUUGGUGGGUUUUUUUGGUUUUUUUUUGUUUUUUUUUGUUUUUUUUGUGGGUUUUGUUGGUUUUUUGUGUUCUUUUUUGCCUUUUUUGUAUUUACUUGUUUGUUUUUGUUUAUUUUUUGUGGUUUUUUGUUUUUUGGUUUUUUUUGUUUGUUGUUGUUGUUUUGCUUUUUUUGUUGUUUUUUUUUUUGUUGUUUUUUGUGUUUUUUUGGUUUUGUUUGUUUGGUUUUGUUUUUUUGGGUUUUUUUUGGGGUUUUUUUGUAUUUUUGGGGUGGUUUUUUUGUUUGUUUUUCUUUUUUUUGUGUUUGUUUGUUUGUUUGCUUGUUUGCUUUUUUUUGUUUGGUUGGUUUGUUUUGGUUUUUUGUGGUUUUUUUUGUUAUUUCUGAGGGUUUUUUGUGGGUUUCUUUGGGGUUUUUUUGUGUUUUUUGUUUUUUUUGUGGUUUUUUUGUUUUUUUUUUUUUUGUGUGUGUUUUUUGUUUUUCUUUUUUUGUUUUUGUGUUUGUUUUGUUUAUUUUUUGGUUCUUUUUUGGUUUUUUGGGGGGGUUGUUUGUUUGUUUUGGUUUUUUUUGUUGUUGUUUCUUGUUUAUUUUUGUUUUUUUUGUUUGUUUGUUUUUGUUUUUUUUAGGGGGGUUGUUUUUUUCUUUUUUUUUUUUUUUUUUUUUUUUUGGUUUUGGGGGGUUUUGGUUUUUUUGGGUUUUUUGUGUGUUUUUGUUGUUGUUGUUGUUGUGUUUGGGGGUUUUUUGGUGUUUUUUUGGUGUUUUUUUGGUUCCUUUUUUUUGGUUUUUUUUUUUGGUUUUGUGUUUGUUUUUUGUUUUUUGGGUUUUUUUGAGUUUUUUUGGUGUAUUCUAUGAAAUAAGAAAUGGAAAAUGCUACACUGGUAUUGUUCCAUCAUUA
rnacentral:lncRNA from 1 species